AUGGAGCAAAUUAUGUCGCUGGAUGCAGCUUUGCCACAUCAAUUCUCCACUGGUUCCUUGCAUCUCGCAUCCUCGUCGAGCGUCGAAGCACCCCCGCCCAUCGAUGGUAGCAGCAUCGACGCCUCCGGGCCUUGCGUCUCGCAUCCUCAUCGAGCGUCGCCGGUUGAAGGUCGCCAUGCGUGCCACCCCCGGCAUCCCAUCACACCAUUUGCUGGUUCCAGCAAAGAGAAACGACGAUUCCAGCAAAAAACGCCACCGGACACAGCAAAAACGACCGUCGAUCCCAACAAAAAACAACACUCCAGUCAUCCCGUCACCCCGUUUGCUGGUUCCAGCAAAAUAAAUCAUCAAUUCGAGCAAAACUAG
rnacentral:rRNA from 1 species